rnacentral:rRNA from 1 species
UACGUAGGGGGCAAGCGUUGUCCGGAAUUAUUGGGCGUAAAGCGCGCGCAGGCGGCUUUGUAAGUUUGGUGUUUAAUCUCAGAGCUCAACUCUGAUUCGCAUCGAAAACUGCAAGGCUUGAGUACAGAAGAGGAAAGUGGAAUUCCACGUGUAGCGGUGAAAUGCGUAGAGAUGUGGAGGAACACCAGUGGCGAAGGCGACUUUCUGGGCUAACACUGACGCUCAUGCACGAAAGCGUGGGGAGCAAACAGG